AGAGUUUGAUCAUGGCUCAGGAUGAACGCUAGCGGCAGGCUUAACACAUGCAAGUCGAGGGGUAUAGGUUUUCGGACCUAGAGACCGGCGCACGGGUGCGUAACGCGUAUGCAAUCUACCUUUUACAGAGGGAUAGCCCAGAGAAAUUUGGAUUAAUACCUCAUAGUAUUAUUGAAUGGCAUCAUUUAAUAAUUAAAGUUCCAACGGUAAAAGAUGAGCAUGCGUCCCAUUAGCUAGAUGGUAAGGUAACGGCUUACCAUGGCAACGAUGGGUAGGGGUCCUGAGAGGGAGAUCCCCCACACUGGUACUGAGACACGGACCAGACUCCUACGGGAGGCAGCAGUGAGGAAUAUUGGUCAAUGGGCGCAAGCCUGAACCAGCCAUGCCGCGUGCAGGAUGAAGCAUCUAUGGUGUGUAAACUGCUCUUGUACGAGAAGAAACACUCCUUCGUGAAGGAGCUUGACGGUAUCGUAAGAAUAAGGACCGGCUAACUCCGUGCCAGCAGCCGCGGUAAUACGGAGGGUCCAAGCGUUAUCCGGAAUCAUUGGGUUUAAAGGGUCCGUAGGCGGUUUUGUAAGUCAGUGGUGAAAGCCCAUCGCUCAACGGUGGAACGGCCAUUGAUACUGCAAGACUUGAAUUACUAGGAAGUAACUAGAAUAUGUAGUGUAGCGGUGAAAUGCUUAGAUAUUACAUGGAAUACCAAUUGCGAAGGCGGGUUACUACUAGUGGAUUGACGCUGAUGGACGAAAGCGUGGGGAGCGAACAGGAUUAGAUACCCUAGUAGUCC
rnacentral:rRNA from 1 species